AAUCAACGCUGGCGGCGUGCCUCAGACAUGCAAGUCGAACGAUUAAAGCUCCCUUCGGGGAGUGCAUAGAGUGGCGCACGGGUGAGUAACACGUAAGUAAUCUACCCUCGAGUGGGGAAUAACAGUCGGAAACGACUGCUAAUACCGCAUAAUGCAGCGGCACCGCAAGGUGACAGUUGUUAAAGGAGCAAUCCGCUUGAGGAGGAGCUUGCGGCAGAUUAGCUAGUUGGUAAGGUAAUGGCUUACCAAGGCUACGAUCUGUAUCCGGUCUAAGAGGACGGUCGGACACACUGACACUGAAUAACGGGUCAGACUCCUACGGGAGGCAGCAGUCGGGAAUUUUGGGCAAUGGGCGAAAGCCUGACCCAGCAACGCCGCGUGAAGGAUGAAGUAUUUCGGUAUGUAAACUUCGAAAGAAUGGGAAGAAUAAAUGACGGUACCAUUUAUAAGCUCCGGCUAACUAUGUGCCAGCAGCCGCGGUAAAAC
rnacentral:rRNA from 1 species